rnacentral:rRNA from 1 species
UACGUAGGGUGCAAGCGUUAAUCGGAAUUACUGGGCGUAAAGCGCACGUAGGCGGAUCGAUCAGUCAGGGGUGAAAUCCCAGGGCUCAACCCUGGAACUGCCUUUGAUACUGUCGAUCUGGAGUAUGGAAGAGGUGAGUGGAAUUCCGAGUGUAGAGGUGAAAUUCGUAGAUAUUCGGAGGAACACCAGUGGCGAAGGCGGACUCACUGGUACAUGUAUACGCUGAGGUGCGAAAGCGUGGGGAGCAAACAGGA